rnacentral:rRNA from 1 species
CCUACGGGAGGCAGCAGUGGGGAAUCUUCCGCAAUGGGCGAAAGCCUGACGGAGCAACGCCGCGUGAACGAUGAAGGUCUUAGGAUCGUAAAGUUCUGUUGUUAGGGACGAAGGGUAAGGAUCAUAAUAAGGUUUUUAUUUGACGGUACCUAACGAGGAAGCCACGGCUAAAUACGUGCCAGCAGCCGCGGUAAUACGUAUGUCGCAAGCGUUAUCCGGAUUUAUUGGGCGUAAAGCGCGUCUAGGCGGCUUAGUAAGUCUGAUGUGAAAAUGCGGGGCUCAACCCCGUGAUGGGGUCCGAACUGGUUUUCUUGAGUGCAGGAGAGGAAAGCGGAAUUCCCAGUGUAGCGGUGAAAUGCGUAGAUAUUGGGAGGAACACCAGUGGCGAAGGCGCCUUUCUGGACUGUGUCUGACGCUGAGAUGC